rnacentral:sRNA from 1 species
AGAGCAGCAAGGUCCUCACUUUAUCUACAGGACAGAGACAGAUAAAAGUGGGGGAUUGUACUAUCUGAAUAUAUGCACCUGGGACAACUUUUCCCCACACUGUUCCACCAACAUGCCUUCGUCCUAGCCUGGAGAGACCUCCUCUGGGAUGAAAGAGUGGGUCCAUCUACAUACUCAUCAUUCAAGUCC